rnacentral:rRNA from 1 species
CCUACGGGUGGCAGCAGUGGGGAAUAUUGCACAAUGGGGGAAACCCUGAUGGUGCGACGCCGCGUGGGGGAAUGAAGGUCUUCGGAUUGUAAACCCCUGUCAUGUGGGAGCAAAUUAAAAAGAUAGUACCACAAGAGGAAGAGACGGCUAACUCUGUGCCAGCAGCCGCGGUAAUACAGAGGUCUCAAGCGUUGUUCGGAAUCACUGGGCGUAAGGCGUGCGUAGGCUGUUUCGUAAGUCGUGUGUGAAAGGCGCGGGCUCAACCCGCGGACGGCACAUGAUACUGCGAGACUAGAGUAAUGGAGGGGGAACCGGAAUUCUCGGUGUAGCAGUGAAAUGCGUAGAUAUCGAGAGGAACACUCGUGGCGAAGGCGGGUUCCUGGACAUUAACUGACGCUGAGGCACGAAGGCCAGGGGAGCGAAAGGGAUUAGAUACCCGAGUAGUC